GAUGAACGCUGGCGGCGUGCCUAAUACAUGCAAGUCGAGCGAACGGACGAGAAUCUUGCUUCUCUGAUGUUAGCGGCGGACGGGUGAGUAACACGUGGAUAACCUACCUAUAAGACUGGGAUAACUUCUGGAAACCGGAGCUUAUACCUGAUAAUAUUUUGAACCGCAUGGUUCAAAAUUUAAAGACGGUCUUGCUGUUACUUAUUGAUGAAUCCGCGCUGCAUUAGCUAGUUGUUAAGGUAACGGUUUACUAAGGCAACGAUGCAUAGCCGACCUGAGAGGGUGAUCGGCCACACUGGAACUGAGACACGGUCCAGACUCCUACGGGAGGCAGCAGUAGGGAAUCUUCCGCAAUGGGCGAAAGCGUGACGGAGCAACGCCGCGUGAGUGAUGAAGGUCUUCGGAUCGUAAAACUCUGUUAUUAGGGAAGAACAUAUGUGUAAGUAACUGUGCACAUCUUGACGGUACCUAAUCAGAAAGCCACGGCUAACUACGUG
rnacentral:rRNA from 1 species